rnacentral:misc_RNA from 1 species
GAAAUGCGAUAAGUAAUGUGAAUUGCAGAAUUCAGUGAAUCAUCGAAUCUUUGAACGCACAUUGCGCCCCCUGGUAUUCCGGGGGGCAUGCCUGUUCGAGCGUCAUUUCACCACUCAAGCCUCGCUUGGUAUUGGGCGACGCGGUCCGCCGCGCGCCUCAAAUCGACCGGCUGGGUCUUCCGUCCCCUCAGCGUUGUGGAAACUAUUCGCUAAAGGGUGCCGCGUGAGGUCACGCCGCAAAACAACCCCAUUUCUAAGGUUGACCUCGGAUCAGGUAGGGAUACCCGCUGAACUUAAGC